CUCUUUGGCGUCUCGUCUCCGAUUCCCCGCCCCAUCCGGCAUCUGCUUUCGAGUAGCAAUGACUACGACGGCCGCGGUUUCGGUGGCUCUGCCCGAAGUGAAGCUCUUCGAUCGAUGGGGCUUUGAUGGUCUUGAGGUAGGCUUCAGCUUCUUCUUAUCGAGGGUUGAUGCUUCCUUUUGCGGUGAUGUAGAAAGAUGAUGAAAGGUCUUACCUUUCGUUUAAAAUAGGAACGAGGGAGGAACAAAUUGUCAUUUUGCAACACUGUCUGUAUCUUGUAAUCCGGGGAUGGGUUCCCAAGAUCGGAUUUGGGGUAGCUGCAACCGCGUCUCUGAGUUUUUAUUUGGCAUCAAUUGGGGAUUUUUUUUGGUUAGGAUAAUGUUUGAGACGGCUGAGGGAGAUUAGGUCGAUUCUUAUAAGAACAUUUUAGGCAACAUUCGAUGUGUAAGAGUUUGUUAGUAGCCGUCUGAUGCUUUGUCAGAUUGUGAGAUUGGCUAAUCAACAAGAAAAUAUCCUAUAUAACAAAAUGAGUGCAUAAGAUAAUCGAUCUCAAAAACUCAUCUGUUUUCAGCAUUGCAAAAUCACAAUCCUGUGCUUGUAUCUACAAAGCCAAGUAGUGUAAGUGAUGCCAAGGAUACCACCUGUUUGUUUGUUUGUUUGUUUGUUUGUUUACUCAGUGGAUCAAGUGAAGAUGCCAGCAGAAUUGGUUCUGCUGGUGUUGUAAGACGCCAAGCAGUUGAUAUAUCUUCAUUGAGGGGGAGUUAAUCAAGCAUUAUACCUUCUCAUGGCAGGUGCUAGAGAGAGUGCCUUUAGGAACAUCAAGACAAUUGCUGAAUCAAUGUCUGGUUGAUGAACUUAUCAAUUGCUGAAUCACUUCACGCCUUGGUCUCUAGUUGUAGCAUCGAGUCAUUGCAUGUUACAUGUUAUGAUUUGACACAAGUACAUCGGUCAAACUACCUCUAAAAGUUUCUGGUCUCUUGACAGUUAUGCAAUAAAAAAGAAGGAUGAGAUUGAAUGUGUCGCCAAGGCAAAUCGCUAAGGGAAGAGAGAGAUUUUAGUCAUGCUGUUACCAUAUAAUGUUGAAGCUCGGCUUUACUUGUGCCGUUAUGGUCCCAAGUUCUUAUGAUACAAAGAGUAGUACCUCUAUAGUAGGUUCUUCUGGUGUUUAGUUCUCUUCACACAUUUUCUUUUCAUUCUGAGAAUCUGCUAUUACAUAACACUUAAAUUGUUGCUUGAAACGCCUUGCUCACUGUUGCUUGAUAUGCAACAGUGAGUGAAAAACAGCAGAACUUCUGAUUUUGCAGGAUAAUCCUCUUGCCCCCAUUUCUUCAUGUGGAGUGAACCUCAGAUAGCUAAUCUUUCUUAUGGAUUAUGGUACUGGUUUUGACUAAAAUAACUUCACUAUUGGUGCUCCUUUCUUAUGGAUAUGUGCCCUCCGUACCUGCUGUAGGGACCCAAGAGCCUCUGCUUGCCUUCUACAUGCUGCUAUUUUAUCAAUUGCAACAUCCCCAUAAGGUCCUUUGGUUCUUCGUAUUCAUCCCCAGAGUAUAAGCAGUGAUCAUACAGGUCUUUUACAUAAAGAAGAUUCCUCCAAAAACCUCAGCAAAAAGGAACACCUCGCUGUCCAGAAAGGCACAACACAUCAGCCAUGGAAACAACACAACCAAACCAAUCCCUAAUACUGAAGGAGGUUCUGCACUAAUAAUUAGCUGAUGGAUUCAUAGUUUGUACUGAUCCCAUAGCUAUACUUCCCUCAUGAAACAACUACACCUGAACCACUAUAGAAGAUUGAGAGCCUGAUAUGGAUGCUGCAUGAUUCUGUCUCCUUGUUUGUGCAGGCUGCAAAGUAAAUGGAAGUCAUCAUCAGGAAAUGCGUUGACAGAAUGAAAUGAACGGAGGAAGAAGGGAACAAGUUCAACCAUGUUGGCAGAUGUGUUCUCGAAUGCUCUCUCGAUCUCUCCUACAAGAUCAUUAAUUGUAGGGCGUCCUUUGCUCGAACUGGCGACACAGAGAACGGCAAUAUUUAAGAUGGACUUGAAAACGUCCAAAUUAAGCUCUCCUUCAAGGCGCGGAUCUACAAAAUCUUCGAGUGGGCGUUUGCCUGCCGAGACAUCCUUGGCCUGCAUCAUGCACCACAAUAGAAUUCAAACAUGAAGAUCUUGCUGAGACUUCUGGGGUAUUACUAUCGAUUUGGUGGCUACCUUUCUUGUCAGAGUUUCUCGUGCUUUUGUGUCCAGUUCAAUCACCUUACGCCCUGAUAGAAGCUGCAAUAUGACUACACCGAAGCUGUAGAUGUCACUGGCACAGGAGAGGUUUCCAUGGGACAUGUACUCCGGAUCCAUGUAGCCGAUGGUUCCCCUAACCUCUGUGAAGCAUUUUGUUUCCUUCAUUCCCACCAUCCUCGCCAACCCAAAGUCCGAAAGUUUUGGCUCCAUGUUGUCCAUCAACAGGAUGUUUGCGAGCUGAAAACCAUGUAUCAUCAAUGAAAGACGAUGAACUGAUACAAAGUUAUGGGUCAACUUCUCACCUUGAUGUCUCUGUGAACGAUACAGCCAUCUGGGUGAGUGUGGAGAAACCUUAACGCAAGGGAACAGUCUCUUAGGAUCUUCACCCUCUUCCCCCAUGGAAGAAGAGCAUCACUUCCUACAGUAACCAAGGAGGGAGACCAGAUUGGGAUGACGAACUUUGGAGAGGCCUUCGACUUCUCUCGUGAAGGAGCCAUUCAUAGCAGUCUUGUAGAGGUGCUUGAUUGCAAUGAGCUGCCCGCUGGGAAGAAUGCCUUGGUAGACUUGGCCUGCGCUUCCAGUGCCGAGGCGUAUUCUGCUGCUGCUGUAGUUUAUGGCUUUCUCGAUCUCUGCUUUGGAGAAUCUGUAAAGACCAGUCCAUUUGCUUGCUACUUUCCCUGGUGCAGUAGUAGUGCCUUGAAAACAUGUGUUAGUGUGAUUGCUUCUGUAAGCAUUGAGCUCAAAUGCACAGGGAGAAUACCUUUGUUGUGUUCAUGAGUCCUUUUCCUAGCCUUGAACAAAGUAAUGAGAAGAAACAAUCCGAUCAAAACCAGUAGUGUUCCGAGUAUCACUUCCACGACAUCUGCUACCUGAGAAGACAAGAAGAAAGUUCAUCAAUUAGAAGAACUUGAAAGAAUUGCAAGAAGUAAAAUGACAACAUGAGUUGAGAACGAUCUGCACUUUACCUGAAUCCAUUGCUGCCAAGCACCGGUAGUAGCCAUCAGUCCAAGUAUCAUCUCUGGGCCUAUUUGAAGCGAUUGCUGCUACGGUGACAACGCUACAAAUUGCUUUCUGCGUGUCAUUAUCCUUAACUUCGAGAUGUUCAACAAUCUUCUCUAUCAUGUUUGAGAUCUCAUAGGUGCAGUUACCACACUGGUUGAUGAAACUUGGCACAUCAAACCGUGAACAAUUCGUGAUGACGGAAUCAAAUUGCUGGCCAUAAUUACUCCUAAUGGAAGCGAGACUGAGGUUUGAGCAACUGCCAUUAUCUUGAUGUAACAAAUCAAAUUUACAUGAAUCUAUAGAGAGAUUAUAUUGCAUGUUAAAGCGAGAUGUGCAGUUAUCCCAUUGCUGUUUGUCGAGAAGGAUCGCUUGGGCUUGUGAGGCCGAACGAGCUAGAGCUUUUGAGAAGAAGUAUAGGACACUGCGACAGCAUUGGGUGGUUCUCACAUUGUCCCAAACCGUCACUUCAUGAUCAUUAGGGUGAACGCAUUCCCCGACCGGUUGAUAAGGGAAUGCAUCAAAGUUCAGAGUGCAAGCUGAUGUCAAGAAGAACAAGUCAGUAAGGAGAACUACAGAAGCACUUGAAUUGGGCAAACAAAAGCAGAUCAUCCCAAUAGAAGAUUAAAACUACACUGUACUGCCAAAGACCUGUUGAAUUUGUUGAGUUGAGGAAGAGGGAGAGGAUUGUGAGAAGCACUGCAACAACCUUCAUCCUUGUUUAGGAAGUUGUUUCUGGAGAUGGAAUUAAAAGAGGGAAUGACGUGCAUGCUUUGAUUUAGCUGUGUCAUCGAGGGGAUCGCUAAUCCUCAUUGUUUAAUGCACAAGAUCUGUUGAUUUCUUCCCUGAAGCUUUGAUGUAAACGACUUGAUUUGGAUGUGUUUGGACUGAUACAAGAAAGUUGAAAGAGACACAUUUGGCUUCAACCUGCUAAUACUAAAGUUCUAAGGUGUGCAAACUUAAUUUUUAUUUGGUGCUUCUUCCAGACGAGCAGCACA